UGAAAGUGGCUCUGAAUUACUAAUGGUA
rnacentral:piRNA from 1 species